rnacentral:rRNA from 1 species
UACGUAGGGGGCUAGCGUUGUCCGGAUUUAUUGGGCGUAAAGAGCGUGUAGGCGGCCAUGUAGGUCCGGUGUGAAAACUCGAGGCUUAACCUCGAGAUGUCAUCGGAAACCAUCUGGCUAGAGUCCGGAAGAGGAAAGUGGAAUUCCUGGUGUAGCGGUGAAAUGCGCAGAUAUCAGGAAGAACACCAAUGGCGAAAGCAGCUUUCUGGGACGGUACUGACGCUGAGACGCGAAAGCGUGGGGAGCGAACAGG